AGUGAACGCUGGCGGUAGGCCUAACACAUGCAAGUCGAACGGCAGCACAGUAAGAGCUUGCUCUUACGGGUGGCGAGUGGCGGACGGGUGAGGAAUACAUCGGAAUCUACUUUUUCGUGGGGGAUAACGUGGGGAAACUUACGCUAAUACCGCAUACGACCUACGGGUGAAAGCAGGGGAUCUUCGGACCUUGCGCGAUUGAAUGAGCCGAUGUCGGAUUAGCUAGUUGGCGGGGUAAAGGCCCACCAAGGCGACGAUCCGUAGCUGGUCUGAGAGGAUGAUCAGCCAUACUGGGACUGAGACACGGUCCAGACUCCUACGGGAGGCAGCAGUGGGGAAUAUUGGACAAUGGGCGCAAGCCUGAUCCAGCCAUACCGCGUGGGUGAAGAAGGCCUUCGGGUUGUAAAGCCCUUUUGUUGGGAAAGAAAAGCAGCAGGUUAAUACCCCGCUGUUCUGACGGUACCCAAAGAAUAAGCACCGGCUAACUUCGUG
rnacentral:rRNA from 1 species